GGCAGUCAGAUUAGCGACAGGAAAAGCUUCUGGCCAUCCUGAAAACAUGUCCACUAUGACCAGUGCAUAUUCAUACCGGCCACUUUUAGGCAUUUGGAUAUGAUCAAUUUGGAUCAUUUGGAAAGGGUACUGUGGUUUGGCCAAAUGGUUUGGUGCAGCUUUAAUUAUUUUCCCUGGAUUACAUCUGGCGUAGAUAGUACAUGAACCACAGUAAUUUCUUGUCAGGUUAGUGAUUCCAGGUGCUUCAAAAUAUUUGUCAAUCAGAGAGUUCAUGAGGUGCUUAGAUAAAUGAGCUGGCCCAUGGGCCCAUUGAAC